rnacentral:rRNA from 1 species
GAGUGAAGCGGCAACAGCUCAAAUUUGAAAUCUGGGCCCGAGUUGUAAUUUGUAGAGGAUACUUUUGAUGCGGUCCUUCCGAGUUCCCUGGAACGGGACGCCAUAGAGGGUGAGAGCCCCGUCUGGUUGGAUGCCAUCUCUGUAAAGUUCCUUCAACGAGUCGAGUAGUUUGGGAAUGCUGCUCUAAAUGGGAGGUAUAUGUCUUCUAAAGCUAAAUACCGGCCAGAGACCGAUAGCGCACAAGUAGAGUGAUCGAAAGAUGAAAAGCACUUUGAAAAGAGAGUUAAAAAGUACGUGAAAUUGUUGAAAGGGAAGCGUUUAUGACCAGACUUGGGCUUGGAAUCAUCUGGGGUUCUCCCCAGUGCACUUUCCAGUCAGGCCAGCAUCAGUUUUCCCCGGGGGAUAAGGCGGCGGGAAUGUGGCUCUGGGAGUGUUAUAGCCCACCGUAUACCCUGGGGGGGACUGAGGUUCGCGCAUCUGCAAGGAUGCUGGCGUAAUGGUCAUCAACGACCCGUCUUGAAACACGGACCAAGGAGUCGUCUUCGUAUGCGAGUGUUCGGGUGUCAAACCCCUACGCGUAAUGAAAGUGAACGCAGGUGAGAGCGGCGCAUCAUCGACCGAUCCUGAUGUUCUCGGAUGGAUUUGAGUAAGAGCAUACGGGGCCGGACCCGAAAGAAGGUGAACUAUGCCUGUAUAGGGUGAAGCCAGAGAAACUCUGGUGGA